rnacentral:lncRNA from 1 species
CUUGCCCCUUUAGAAUUUGAGAUUGGCAUCCAUAAGCGAUAAUAAAAGGAUUGGGAAGAAGACAAAAGGAAAGUUAUAAGAAAGUUGCUGUCCAGAAUUUCUGCUACACCGUUUUGUGUUUCAAUGCCUCCACAGCCCUUGUUGCUAGUUCUAAGAUUGCCACACUCCAAGAGUAGAUCAAGGAAGAUCCCAACAUAAGUCCCAUAAGAAGUUUCAAAAUAGCUGC